GUGGCCCCUUUGAAGGGUGAACUUGUCUGGGAAGGGAUGCUCCAGCUGAAUGUCUCAUCCAUGACCUCUGUCAUUUGUAUUUUUAAGAGUGGUGAAAAACUGCUCCAAAGGACUGGCCAAGCCUUCUUGAUAUUAUGGGCCGAGUUAGACUUGAUGCGUUCGAGAAGUUUCUCCAAGAGCUUCCUAUGACCCGGAGUCGUGCUGUUAUGGUAUAUCAAGUUCAUUUAAACUGCAGUAAAUUCCUGUACUGCAUAUUGUUUCCCAAAAGAAAAUUUGGAUACCAAAAAAUCUUUUUUUAUCCCAGUUUUUGUCUUCCAUUUGUAAAUUUUUGUUCAGUAUAGGGUUAAAUCUCAUUUAUGGAGCAUUGAUAAGCAUUGGGUCACUAGGAAUUUAUUAAGCCUUAACGUAAAAAUUGAAAAGACGAAAGAGAUGGAACUUGAACAAUAUUCCUAGUUUGAUUUGAACAAGAAACAUGGAGAACAACAUAUAUUAGUGAAAA